rnacentral:rRNA from 1 species
GAUGAACGCUGGCGGCGUGCCUAAUACAUGCAAGUCGAGCGAACAGAUAAGGAGCUUGCUCCUUUGACGUUAGCGGCGGACGGGUGAGUAACACGUGGGUAACCUACCUAUAAGACUGGGAUAACUUCGGGAAACCGGAGCUAAUACCGGAUAACAUUUGGAACCGCAUGGUUCUAAAGUGAAAGAUGGUUUUGCUAUCACUUAUAGAUGGACCCGCGCCGUAUUAGCUAGUUGGUAAGGUAACGGCUUACCAAGGCGACGAUACGUAGCCGACCUGAGAGGGUGAUCGGCCACACUGGAACUGAGACACGGUCCAGACUCCUACGGGAGGCAGCAGUAGGGAAUCUUCCGCAAUGGGCGAAAGCCUGACGGAGCAACGCCGCGUGAGUGAUGAAGGGUUUCGGCUCGUAAAACUCUGUUAUUAGGGAAGAACAAACGUGUAAAUAACUGUGCACGUCUUGACGGUGCCUAAUCAGAAAGCCACGGCUAACUACGUG